rnacentral:rRNA from 1 species
GACGAGACGACGCGUGGCGGCGUGGAUUAGGCAUGCAAGUCGAACGGUAUCAUCCUUUCGGGGGUGAGAGAGUGGCGAACUGGUGAGUAACACGUAGGUUAUCUACCCUCAAGACGGGGACAACCCAGGGAAACUUGGGCUAAUACCGGAUGUGAGCAACUUUUAGUUGUUUGAAAGGUGGCGUAAGCUGUCGCUUGGGGAUGAGCCUGCGUCCUAUUAGUUAGUUGGUGAGGUAACGGCUCACCUAGGCAAUGAUAGGUAGGCGGCCUUAACGGGUGGUCGCCCACACUGGGAUUGAGAUACGGCCCAGACUCCUACGGGAGGCAGCAGUCGAGAAUAGUCUACAAUGGUCGGAAGACUGAUAGUGCGACGCCGCGUGAACGAUGAAUCCCUUCGGGGUGUAAAGUUCUUUUAUAUGUGAGCAGUGCUUCUUAUAUUAACAGUAUGGGGAGAGAGAUAUUAGCAUAUGAAUAAGCAACGGCUAACUCCGUG